rnacentral:tRNA from 1 species
GGACCUUUAGCUCAGCUGGUCAGAACUCUCGGCUUAUAACCGAGCGGUCGUUGGUUCGAGCCCAACAAGGUCCG